GAGCCCUCGAGGUGGUCUCACGCCCGGGGUGGGGGUGCCGAGCCCUCAGGAGGCGCGCGCCCCGGGGCCCUCAGGAGGGUGUCCCGGCUCCCGAUCCCCUCAGGAGGGGUGCCCGCGGCACGCAUCCCCGAGCCAGGAGGGGGUGCCCGGAGCCCUGGGGGCAGGGUCUCGGUGCGCCCCCCGGAGCCGGGGGUGAGGGUCCCGAUCCCUCAGGACGGGAGUCCCGGCGCGCGCCCUCGAG
rnacentral:lncRNA from 1 species